rnacentral:rRNA from 1 species
UAACCUGCCCAAGAGAUCGGGAUAACACCUGGAAACAGAUGCUAAUACCGGAUAACAACAGAUGAUGCCUAUCAACUGUUUAAAAGAUGGUUCUGCUAUCACUCUUGGAUGGACCUGCGGUGCAUUAGCUAGUUGGUAGGGUAACGGCCUACCAAGGCGAUGAUGCAUAGCCGAGUUGAGAGACUGAUCGGCCACAUUGGGACUGAGACGACGGCCCAAACUCCUACGGGAGGCAGCAGAG